UUUAUUUUCAUCUUCUUCAAGUAAGCAAAGAUAAAUCAUCAUGAAUCGCAAAGUUCUUCUUCUCCUCGUCUUGGUUCUCGUCACCGUUCAGCUUUCGAGUGCAAACGCAGAUGAAGCUGAUAAUAUUGUGUGGUCUUGGAAAUAUUGGGAUCAAGAAGCGGCGAAAACACUGAGAGAUGAACUUCAAGACAGCUAUUAUGAUCAAUUCGGUAAUGAUGAAUAGCAAUGAACUGCAUGACUUUUGCGUACUGCUGCUUGACGCAAAUAAAAAAUAACGAACAUUA